ACUGUGUAAACUACAAAAAGAAGCUCUUGAUUUUUAAAAAAAAUAACUUGAUAAAAGCUCUUCCUGUUGAAAUGUGAUAGAUGUAGUUCAUAACUCAUGCUGAACUUGGUCUUGAUUUUAUAACGUUUGAAUCUGAACAGGUAAGACUGCAAUCUGAUGCACACUUCCUUGGAAGUAAACCCCAUUCAACUAAGGGGUACUUACUUCUCCAUACACAGGAUGGGCUGAAAUGUGCUUUGUUCUAUGUCAACAUAUAACGCAUACACUUCCACAAUGAAUUUAGUUUGUGGGAUAUAUCAUGAUUAUUUUUAACCAUUUUCUUCACUAGAUUAUAUACUUAUCUAUUAACACAUCUUUAAAACAGUCAUAAAUAUAUAAUGUUUAUACAUAUAAAAAUAAAUUGUAAAGCAUUUUUUAAAAAGUCACACUUGUCCAGGUUUCUGCUGUGUUGUAUUUAGUGGUCCUGUGGAUUCACAAAAUGAUACUGUUUUUAAAUUUUGUUUUUAUAUCUUAUGUAUAUAAUAAAUAUACCAUAUACUAUUAUUUCA